rnacentral:tRNA from 1 species
UGGAGUGUCGUCUAAUGGUAGGACAGCGGAUUCUGGUUCCGUCAGUGAGGGUUCGACUCCUUCCACUCCAGCCA